rnacentral:rRNA from 1 species
UACGUAGGGGGGCAAGCGUUUGUCCGGAAUUACUGGGCGUAAAGCGUGCGCAGGCGGCUUUCCAAGCGCCACGUGAAAAGCCCCCGGGCUCAACCCGGGAGGGUCGUGGCGAACUGGGGACUUGAGGCCGGUAGAGGUGGGUGGAACUCCUGGUGGAGUGGUGAAAUGCGUAGAGAUCAGGAAGAACACCCGUGGCGAAGGCGGCCCACUGGGCCGGUACUGACGCUGAGGCACGAAGGCGUGGGGAGCGAACGGG